AACUUUCUGCAGUUGAUAAGCAUGCUGGCUGAGUUUCACACAGUUGAAUGAGAUAUGCCACCCAUAAACCAAGUGAGUGCGCAUUACACAACUGAUA
rnacentral:snoRNA from 1 species